rnacentral:rRNA from 1 species
UACGGGGGGAGCAAGCGUUGUUCGGAUUUACUGGGCGUAAAGGGCGCGUAGGCGGCCACCGCAAGUCGACUGUGAAAUCUCCGGGCUUAACCCGGAAAGGUCAGCCGAUACUGCGGGCUAGAGUGCAGAAGGGGCAACUGAAUUCUCGGUGUAGCGUGAAUGCGUAGAUAUCGGGAGGAACACCGGUGGCGAAGGCGCGACCUGGGUCGAGACUGACGCUGAGGCGCGAA